rnacentral:lncRNA from 1 species
UGUUGUCUUAUUGUUGAAAUAGAUCCAACAACUACAUAUUAUUAAGAGAGCUACCAGACCCACCCCAUUGUCUUAGAUUCCCACCCACCUUAAAAAGUUAAAAACUUAAUAUGCUAUUUCCCCACCGACUAUUAUUCUCAAAAUAACCUUUAAUAUAUACAUACUUAUGAAAUUAUAAAAUUGUCACUUAAAAAAUAUAAACAAAUAAUAUGUAAAUGAAAACCACUAAGGUCUGCAAAUUCAAAUGGAAAUGACAUAGGUAUCCAACGACAAAUUCAAAAAUAUGAUGGACAAAUUCAAAUGACCCACACACAAAUUAUUCUUCUACAUUUUCAAUGAAAACAUAAUUUUCUACCUCUUCUGUAGAAGGGUCAUCUUCCACCGUUUCAAUGAAAAAGUCAUCUUCUAAGUCCAAUGAUAUUUUUUUUUUACUUUCUUUGAAUGAAAGGAGAUGAAAAUAUGAGUUAGAGUUUAAGGUAGACAAAUCGUCUCCCACACCGAACCUUUUUUUUCUUUUUUCUUUUUUUAAAAAAAAAUUAAGCAAAACAAGAUAAUUAAUGUCCUUAUUAGUCUUUUUGCAAAUGGACAAAUUUGUAAUUAAAAAAAUUUAUUAAAAGGUGAGUAGGAAGAUAAGACAUUGGGGUAGGAAUAACAUCACUUAUUAUUAAUUACUUUAUUUUUUAUUUUAAUACCAAUUAUACCCCUCGAGUAAUUAGUAAAGUAACUAAUAUUAUUUUAAUUUUAGCAUUAUCUUUCAUUAAUGAUAAUAUUUCUCUUCUUUUUCCUUAAUUAGAGUUUGUUGCAAUCUUGUUAUAUUUUUGGUUUGCUACCUAUCUUUUUGUUGUUUUACCUCACUCAUCAUUUUUUUUGGUUUUUUACCUCACUCAUCAUUUUUUUUGUUGUGUUUUCUUCUGUUGUUUCCUCAGAGAUCAUAUACAUUAUGUAAGUCAUCUAAUUUCUUUUUUCUUUUAUGGAAUGCUGCUCCAAAUUAAGCAUGCUAUUUAUCUACAUAUUAAACAUGAUUUUUUUAAUCAACCUCUACCAUGUAUUUCAGCUUUGGUUGGGUUUCGUACCUCUUAUCUACCUAUAUCACAUUUUUUUAAUCAACCCUCAUUAAUCAAAGUCCUUUGGCUUUUUCUAGAAAUAAAACAUGAGAUAUUAUGGUAUUUAAACUAUCACAUCUAAUGAGCUAUAAUAAAUGUACAUUAAAAAAUAUCAAGUACAUGUAAUGGUCUAAAAUAUCCAUAAUAUCCCGAUAUUUCUAUCGAAAUUUCCGUGUUUUUGGACUACCGAUAUUUUUUUGGACUACCGAUAUUUCCGAUAUCAUCGAUAUUUUAGACCUUGCUAAGUCACUCAUGUAUCUUACCAUGCAUUGUAUAAAGUGUAAAAUAUUGUACUAAUUCAUUAUAUAUAAAUGAUUAUGGUGUGUUUAAACUUCUUUAAUUAAUUACUACAUAUUUUCUACACUCACAAUGUUUGCCAGCUCGCUAUAUAAUCAACUUAAAUCAGUUAUAUCUAUCAUGCAAUGCAUUUCCUUCCAAUUUUUUGUGAUAAACUAAUAAAUAAUUGACUAAAUAAACAUCCUGCAAAGUUUCAAUAAAAAUUUCCAAGUUUUUCUUACAAUUUCCGUGGUUUUUAUUCAAUUUUUAUCAAUAUCGAUAAUAUCCCGAUAUUUCCAUCGAAAUUUUCGUGUUUUUGAACUACCGAUAUUUCCGAUAUCAUCGAUAUUUU